UUUCCCGAAUCUCUCCCCGUGACCAAGAGAUUCAAUCAAUAAGUGUUUACAAGGUGAUGAAUCAAUCCCCAACCCUAGAGUAUGCCCAAGAGAAGUUCUCUAAUAAACCCUAGUCUUUUGUUGGCUUUAGAAACCCUAAAAUCACCUUAAAAAACAGAAAAAACGCAAAAAACAGCAUUAUAUAUCGCGCCCGCGCCCAGCUCAGGGGGGUCUGAGCCCAGCUCAGAUGGCAGAGAGCAAGGCUCCAUUUUUUCUUCUUCUGCUGAGCCCAGCUCAGGCUUGCUGCGCCCAGCUCAGACACCAGAUGCAAAACUCUGUUUUUUCUGCUUAAUUUGAAGGCAUAAUCCAACAAUCUCCACCUUGCCUUUAAAUUGAUGGUGAUGC
rnacentral:lncRNA from 1 species